AUCGCUUCUCGGCCUUUUGGCUAAGAUCAAGUGUAGUGUCUUUGACAGUGCUGCGCUUGAUCAGAGAAGCGAUCGCAGGCCGGAGGGCGCCCGGGAAAUUGUGCUAUUUAUUUUUGUUUAAAAUCAUUAUUGUUGUAUUGUUUCACUAUUGUUUUUUGUCCUGGGUUAGGUGGUGGUUCUGGUGGUGGACUACAGGUGCACUAGCACCUGUAGGGUGAGUUUAA
ensembl:snRNA U2 U2 spliceosomal RNA